GAUGAACGCUGGCGGCGUGCCUAAUACAUGCAAGUCGAGCGAACAGACGAGGAGCUUGCUCCUCUGACGUUAGCGGCGGACGGGUGAGUAACACGUGGAUAACCUACCUAUAAGACUGGGAUAACUUCGGGAAACCGGAGCUAAUACCGGAUAACAUGUUGAACCGCAUGGUUUAACAGUGAAAGACGGUCUUGCUGUCACUUAUAGAUGGAUCCGCGCCGCAUUAGCUAGUUGGUAAGGUAACGGCUUACCAAGGCAACGAUGCGUAGCCGACCUGAGAGGGUGAUCGGCCACACUGGAACUGAGACACGGUCCAGACUCCUACGGGAGGCAGCAGUAGGGAAUCUUCCGAAAAGGGCGAAAGCCUGACGGAGCAACGCCGCGUGAGUGAAGAAGGUCUUCGGAUCGUAAAACUCUGUUAUUAGGGAAGAACAAAUGUGUAAGUAACUAUGCACGUCUUGACGGUACCUAAUCAGAAAGCCACGGCUAACUACGUG
rnacentral:rRNA from 1 species